UGGCUCUGCAGUGUUUCAAAUCUGGGACUCUGUGGCACCCAGGGCAGUUCAGGAAUGGGACAGAAAGGCUGUCUCAGGUUCAUUUUCAAACCUCAUGCCCAUGUGAAUCUGGACACCCACACUUCUGUGUUCACGUUAGAAAGGCUCUCCUCUCCCCAGCAGCCUCAAUUCGAUACAUUCAGACAAUUUGUAUCACAGCAAGAAGGUACAACUGAAGCCUCUAAGUUGUCUGGGGUAAAUACCCGAGGUUCCCAGUCUGGCACCAAGAAAAUUUAGGACACAGACACACGGACACACAUGAGGAGUUUAGGAAAGGAGGUUUAAUAGGCAAAAGAAAGAGAAAGAGAAAGGAAAACAGCUCUCUCUAGUUAGAAAGAGAGGGCUUCCGAGAGGAAAAAGAACCAGAGAAGAGCCAGUUGGCCAUGGAUGUGCCGGAUUUCAUAGUCAGGCUUGAGGAGGUGGUAUCUAAUUUAUAUAGGGCUCACAGAUUGGUUCGAUCAGGUACGAUGUUUACAUAGCGCGCAGGGAAGGAUGGCCGCCCCACCCUAAUCUUAUAAGGCAAAUCAACUUUCCCCUUAGCUGGUGCCAUCUUCUCUGCUCCUUACUGUACAGGUGGCUGGCAAAGAAGGGACGAUGGAGCCGCCAUUUUGAACAUGGCUGGCACAACUGCCUGCAUGUAUGUCUGCAGCUCGAUUUUAUAGGCUGCUCUUUGCUGGAAAGGAAAAUGAUUUGGGGCUGCUUUUCAUUAAAAGGAAAACCUUACCAAGGACUUCCAUACCCUCACUAUCUGCCUAAGUAAUUGCAUCUUCACUCCUGUAUCACAGCUUUGUGAGCCACGUCAGAAUAAAUUCUGACAAGACCUGGGUCUGAGGACGCUGCUUAGUGUAUCUCUCCAGGUUUUGACAGCCCAGCCCUUUGCCUGCAUGAAAAUAAACGGGAUGUGCGCACUCUGCUUUAACUUCUUCCAAGUGCCCCAUAAACUGGCCACAGCACAGGGCGUGAGCGUGAAGGAAACUCACCACCUCAGUCACUUCCUCCACCACUUCAUAUCUGCUAGGAGCCUGACUCGCCAAGUCCACCAAGUCUUCUGAAGAGGAUUCCAUAGAAAGUGGGCACAUCUACCUUCCCUGUUAACUUGAAUAAACUGUUCCAUCUGCAUCAGAUAUGCUGGGUGAAUCUACCAACUGCUGGCUGCUUGAAACCUUUCAAGAACAUCUAAAUUUGAUGAACUCAACCUCCUAUCAACUGGAACUGUUACUCUGUCACUUGGUGCAUGACUACAAAGAUAGUUCUGACUUCAUGUUUAUAAUAAUGAUCCCCAAUGCUGCAAGAUCCUGAAGUGCCUUUGAGUCAUCACCAAUAACUUACUCAUCAGAAUUGCUUUCGUGUUGAGUAGAUUUUGCUGAUAUCUGAUUGUUCAGCAAGUACAAACUUAAUUAAGCUUCUAUUUUAGUACUAGAUACAUGCUCUAAGAUCAAGACAGAAUUCCCUAUAAACAGAAUAUUUGCUAGAUCAUAUCCCAUUAUUUGAGCAAACUGGAUCCAGAAUAUUUUCUUGUUUGUUUGUAAAGUAGUUCAUGUGUACAUUUGUGUGUGUGUUUGUAAAUCCUUCCUUUCUUGGUGAAUUUUCUUUUAUUAGAUUGAAUUCUCCUGGUAUUUUCCUUUUUAUCCAGAAAAUAGGAGUACCCGCCUUCCUGGCUUAAAUGGAUAAUUCAUUGAAAGGUUUAACUUGAUUUUUUAAAUGCAAAGAGAUAUGUUUUUAAAACACUAUUCCUGUUCUUGGCACUGCCAAUCAAAAACAUUCAACUUAGAAUAUCUGAUUUGUUCCUGAAGUUGGAUCCUAUGUAUUUUGAUUUUGUGAGAAUUUAAAAAAUCUAAUUAAACCUCAGUGUAGAUAAAAAGUUUUGAUCUCAUACAGGGGAAAACACCAGAGGAUCUUUAUUGUUGCCAAGUUACAUUGAUAAAGUUUUGCAUUCUAACCCCAGUUCCCUGAUGUAAUAUAUAAAUCUCGUUAACCUUAUAAAUAUGAUUUUUCAAGAGCAAA